AAAGGAAUUGACGGGGGCCCGCACAAGCGGUGGAGUAUGUGGUUCAAUUCGACGCAACGCGAAAAACCUUACCUGGGCUUGACAUGGGGUGGACCAUCCUAAGAGAUUAGGACUUCUGUAGCAAUACAGACCGCCUACACAGGUGCUGCAUGGCUGUCGUCAGCUCGUGUCGUGAGAUAUUGGGUUAAGUCCCGCAACGAGCGCAACCCUUGUCCUUAGUUGCCAUCAGGUUAAGCUGGGCACUCUAGGGAGACCGCCUCGAAUAACGGGGAGGAAGGUGGGGACGACGUCAAGUCAUCAUGGCCCUUACGUCCAGGGCUACACACGUACUACAAUGGCCGGUACAAAGGGUCGCAAACUCGCGAGGGUGAGCCAAUCCCAAAAACCCGGUCUCAGUUCAGAUUGGAGUCUGCAAUUCGACUCCAUGAAGUUGGAAUCGCUAGUAAUCGCGGAUCAGCAUGCCGCGGUGAAUCCGUUCCCGGGCCUUGUACACACCGCCCGU
rnacentral:rRNA from 1 species